GCUGCUGUGGCUCAGGGGUAGAGCACUUCCUUGGUAAGGAAGAGGUCGGGGGUUCAAGUCUCCCCAGCAGCU
rnacentral:tRNA from 1 species